AGAGUAGAUCAAGCGAUCGCAGGAUAAACCCCCAAAAAGGGUUGUCUUGAGGAAAGUCCGAACACCAUAGGGCAGGACGCUCCAUAACGUGGAGUCGCGGUAACGUGAAGGAAAGUGCAACAGAGAGCAGACCGCCAGCCAUGGCUGGUAAGGGUGAAACGGUGCGGUAAGAGCGCACCAGUUUUUCAGGUGACUGAAAAAGCUUGGUAAACCCCGUCCGGUGCAAGACCAAAUAGGGAGGCGUUUGAGGGCUGCCCGCCUGAAGCCUUCGGGUAGGUCGCAUGAGGUGUGCGGCAACGUACAUCCAAGAUGAAUGAUCGCUGCUCUGAAUGGGGUAACCUUAUCAGAGAACAGAAUUCGGCUUACGAGCUACUUUCACC
rnacentral:RNase_P_RNA from 1 species